AGUGAACGCUGGCGGUAGGCCUAACACAUGCAAGUCGAACGGCAGCACAGGAGAGCUUGCUCUCUGGGUGGCGAGUGGCGGACGGGUGAGGAAUACAUCGGAAUCUACUCUGUCGUGGGGGAUAACGUAGGGAAACUUACGCUAAUACCGCAUACGACCUACGGGUGAAAGCAGGGGACCUUCGGGCCUUGCGCGAUUGAAUGAGCCGAUGUCGGAUUAGCUAGUUGGCGGGGUAAAGGCCCACCAAGGCGACGAUCCGUAGCUGGUCUGAGAGGAUGAUCAGCCACACUGGAACUGAGACACGGUCCAGACUCCUACGGGAGGCAGCAGUGGGGAAUAUUGGACAAUGGGCGCAAGCCUGAUCCAGCCAUACCGCGUGGGUGAAGAAGGCCUUCGGGUUGUAAAGCCCUUUUGUUGGGAAAGAAAUCCAGCUGGCUAAUACCCGGUUGGGAUGACGGUACCCAAAGAAUAAGCACCGGCCAACUUCGUGCCAGCCGCCACAGUAA
rnacentral:rRNA from 1 species